rnacentral:lncRNA from 1 species
AGCAAAUGUUCAACUACAAGGUAAUUCCAAAUUGUUUUCCAAGGGAUUGGGACCAAUUUAUACUCCUAUCGACAGCAUAUAAGAGCUCCUGCUGCUCUUCGUCUUCAGUAGUACUUAUAUUUUCAGACUAAAAUUUUUGCCAAUCUGCUCUGAUUGGAAGUAAGUCAGUAUUAGCAGUGUUGUUAAAAUCUCCACCAUGAAGAUCCAUGUGGGUGCUUGGAGUCUUACAAUAGAAAAGAAUGAAUGCAUUCCUUCAUAUUAAAAGACACUAAAAAGUAAUGGCAGAUGAAAUGUGGUCACGUUGAGCAGCUGCUCAGAACCUCAGUAAAGUAUGGGUCUUGAUUACAAAGAGAGAUCUAUGGAUCCCAGUUGAUGGGGAGCAGAAACACAGCUCAGAAGGGGAUUGUGGAAAGCUGGUCAGGGCACGUUUGUCCUGUGGGCCAGGAUGUCUUUAGGGGAAUAUGCAGUACAAAGAGGAAUGGGAUCUAGGCUGAGAUCUGGUCUGGUCAGGAGCAGACUGGCUGCCGGUAAAAAUGGAAAAGAAGAAACAUGUGCUCUGUAUGUUCAUCAUCCCUGUUUCCCACCUUCCUCUCCUUUGGAUUUAUGCCAGGUCUCCCAGGGAUAGGUCCCCUAGUGCCCUCUUUACUCUCCUCAAGGCCUGGUGGAUCCUAACCGAUGGAUGUUUAUGGAGAACUGGUGCUGCCACAGCCAGUAGCAGGACCUGUCUACACCUGUUGGUAACCUGAGCGUCCCACUCACCAAUCCCAGCCUUCAGGCUUUUCCACCCACAUGCCACGUCUCUUGAUCCAUUGGAAGUCAUUAGAUCAGAUUUGAACUGCCUGAGGGACAGGCUCUCCUUUUAAAUUCCAUUUAUCAAGAGCCAUUACGUGCCCAGAACUUGACGGGAUGCUUUUCCUGGAUUAUCAUAUUUAAUCCUCACACCAACAUCAGGUUACAGAUGAAGAGACCAAUUUAGAGAUUAAAUAAUUUUCCCAAGGUCACUCAACCAGUAAGCCUAGAAGUGGGAUUUGGACCUGAUUCGUUGUGUGCAAGCAUAUGCUGCAUCACACUGCCCAGGGCCAGGACGGGCAGCAGAAUGCAGCCUCCUCCACAUGUUCGCCGGACUCUCAGCAUCUAGAGAACUUUGCCCGUCAGCCAGGCAUCUCAAAGCCACAGUCACAGCUCUGGACACACAGGCGCUGAGGAGAACUGAUCGAGCAGUAAUGUCUCCAUGGGGACCAGCCAGUCAGCAACAGUGUACACACUCACUGUGUACUGACCAGGACUCAGACAAUAUGUUCUGCCAAUCCCUGGACUCCUAAUUAGCCUUCCACCUCCCAAAGUGAGUCGGUGUCAUGUUAUCAAACACGUCUCUUUCCUUGUCUCCUCUCAUUUAAGGGACUGUAGCUAGCUCCUACAGCUUAUUCUGUACUACCCAUCAGGACUAAUAUAAAGUCAUUCUAAGAAUAAUCCACCCAAACUGGCCUUCAUAUCUGGUGUCUGGAAUAUAGCAGAAAUCUUUUCAUUCAGUGUUAAAGCAUUGCAUCAUCCAACGAACUGACUGCAAAUGGACACACAGUCUAACUUAAAGGUUAUGGAUCAGUAGGUAAAUGCAAAAAUUCUAUUAGUUUUCAGACCUGGGGUUUAUGACAUUCAUUUAAAAUGAAAUCAAAAUCCUGUACAGAAAUAGGAAAGGCACCAUGGAUAGAUUCACUUUUAACAGCAUCCACUUGGCUAUUACACAAGGGCCAAGAAGACCAUAGUUUCUAUAUCAUGUAGUUACUUUUUAUUCCUGUUCACUGACUUUGACAAAGACGGUAAAUAGCAUGCAGAGAAUAGAUACAUUUUGAAGAAAUAUUAAAACACUGAUUAAUGUCACAUUAAGAAGUGUAAAGUCCCUUGGGUAGAGGGAGAAAAAUUAAAAUGCCUUUGGUUCUUAAUGAAACUGCACCAGGCUUACAUAAAUCUAAAAUCCUUACUUUAACCUGAGUUUAAAAUAAUGGGCUAACUUGACAGUGCUUUACAAAUCCUAGCAAUGAACAUUAUCAUUUAUUACCAGAAUGAGUGAUAAUAGGAGUAGGAGAGAGAUAGUGCAUAUUGGGAAGUGUCCAAAGAGUUUAGCAAGACAAUAUUUCUUUUUCACAACACAAAGAUAAAACAGUCGUAAAACUGAGAGUUCAUUUCAUUCACUUGGAGGAGAAGGGCAGGUGGGUGUUCUAGUUAAGCAGAUUGCAACCCUCUUCUAUAGGAAUGUAAAGGAGAAUGAAGAAACACAAGAGGUAAUAUUCACUCCGCAGUGCAAGAAGGUCCAUGGAUUUAAAGUCCAUCACAGUAAUUAAAUUUCAAUGUUGACACAGUACAUCUCAACAUUCAGACUUCUAAAUAUAGUUUAUACAGUGCCUGUGAGCAAAAUGCAAUGCACAUGAAUAUUUAUCUCUGUAGUGAAGCUGCUUCUGCCACAUGCUCUGAAAAGAAGGGUUGAGAUUAGGACAGACCAAAACAGAGUCCACAGAAUUUGAUGAUAAUCAUUUCAAAGUAGUUGAAAUGAGCCCGUGGCCUCGUCAGAAGCAGUAAUUUUAAGCAUUUUUGGUUGUAGAACCCUUUUCACAAAUGAAAUCUAAUUAGAAACUAAAUAUUUGAAAUGGAUUGAAGUGAGAUAGGUUAGUUGAUUUUUGCAGGUGGCAGGGUAUUCCAGGCCAGUGACUUCUCAAUGCCACAGACUUUGAGAUGCAUAAUCUAAAGCUAUUCUUUUAAGCAAUAAAUAAGUAAAAUAAAAAUCCACUGGGUAUUUGAUUGAUUUUAAGGUACUGACAGAUGGUAGAGAGCUAUGUAUUUCUAAGGAAGGGCUUAUGGAAUGGGUUGGUUAUGAUAGGGAAGAGCAAUAAGAUUAGAUGAAAUGAAUGCUAAAAUAAAUGUUAUUCACUUUCUGCCACAUGAAGAUACUGUUUUCUUUCAUAUUAUUCCUGGGCCCUCAACUGUGGAUCUGG